UCUUCCAUAGUCUAGUGGUCAUGAUAUCCGCUUGUCAUGGUGCCGAAGCGGCUCGCACAGCCGGCUCGGCCUGUGUACGGACCGCGGAUGGCCCGGGUUCGAUUCCCGGUGGGAGAG